UGGCCCCAGGAAAGGCAAGCCCCAAGCUUGCCCAUUGUGGGCAGAAGGAUCCUCCUCGGAUCAUCACCGGUGAGUCCCUGUGGUGCCUCACUGGGUGAAUGGUGGAGGGGAUUCAAAGGCCGGGGGGCCUGGUUGGCCCCCCGGCUCGGUAGGGCUAGGCUUCAUGAUUGCUCUAACAUCAUUGCAUAGGCACUGGCUGGGUCUCCUCACUUAGGCUAAGCUCCUCUGUGUUUAGCUGCUUCUUUUUGCUUACUCAUGAUUAGCUGAAGUACUUGGUGGAACUGGAAGCUCACAGCUGAGAAGUAUUGUGGUGUUACCUGAAGUACUUGGCUGAACUGGAAGCUCAUGGGUCAAUUGGCAUUUUAAUGUGUAGUAUUAAACCAACUUAAAGCUGAACAUGGAAUAGAUUUGCGUACAUCGAUGAACACAUGGGAGCAGAUCUCCCUCCCAGCUGCAUUUCCUGGACUCAGAAUCACCUGAAGACUGUUUUCAUAAAAUCAGAGUGGUUUGGGUUAAAAGAGACCUUAAAGAUCAUCUAGCUCCAACUCCCCUGUCAUGCACAAGGGCACCUCCUGCUAAAGUAAUGUGCUCUAUGCCCCACCCAGCCUGGCUUUCAACACUUGCAGGCUUGGAGCCUCCACAAUCUCUCUGGGCAACCUCUUCUAGUACCUCACCACCUUCCGUGGGAAGAAUUCUAUCCUUGGCUAAUCUAAAUCCAGACUCCUCAGUUUUGAAGACAUCACUCCUCAUCCUGACACUCCUAACUUUGCAAAAUGUCCUCCUUCAGCUGUCCUGUAAGUCCCAUUUUUCUGAGGGAUGUCACCUCACAGAAAGUGUAAGGAACACAGCCAGGUCCAGCACUCCUGGCCAGGUGACUUCCCAUCCCUGCUCUACAGCAGAAUAUUCCUCUUCACUGACCCUGGACAUUGGCACCUUCUUACAACAGCCAUGGAUACAACUGAAAGUGACUGUUACUUACAGUUAUAUUUACAAAAUGAUUGUGUAUUAUUUUAUCUGGAGGAUGUCCAGAGGAGGCCACAGCAAUAAUGCAAUGGCUGGAACCUCUCUGCUGGGAGGACAGGAUGAGACAGUUGGAAUUACUCAGCCUGGAGAAGGCUCCUGGGAGACCUUCUAGUGGCCUUUCAGUGCUUAAAGGGGGUGAUCAGAAAGCUAGGAACAGACUUUUGAGCAGGGCUUGAGGUCAGAGGACAAGGAGUGAUGGUUUAAACUAAAAGAGGCAGAUUCAGACUUGAGAGAAGAGAGGAAUGUUUAACACAGAGGGUGGUGAAACCCUGACCUAGGUUGCCCAGAGAUGUGUUAGAUGUCCAUUCCCUCAAACCAUUCCAAGUCAGGUUAUCUGGGGCUCUAAGCAACCUGCUCUAGUUUCAGAUGUGCUGCUGACUGCAGGGAGGUUGGGCUAGAUGAGCUUUAAAUGAUACCAGCCAUUGAAGAAGAGGCUUGACCCUGGUGAUCCCUCAGCUUUCUCCUGCAGAUGCUAUCCAUGGGCUGCAAUCCGUUGUUGAACAGUUGAGGGUCCCCUGUUCUGGCUGCUCCUCGCUGCAGCCCAAGGUGUGGCACAAGCUGUGGCAGAGGCCUUGGUGUGCCCAGGGGCAAGUCUCAGAAUUUUUGUGCAGCCCAGCUCUUGGAAGGAACUCUUCCCAUCAAAUUUCCCCUUGCUAGAUGCAGCCUUUGGCUGUGCAACUCUGCCCUGCACUUCAGAAGGCGCAAAGCCUGAGCUGGGAAGUCUCAGCAUUGACCAGAGCUAC